rnacentral:rRNA from 1 species
GGCAUGGUUGUCGUCAGCUCGUGUCGUGAGAUGUGGUUAAGUCCCGCAACGAGCGCAACCCUCGACCUUAGUUGCCAGCAUUCAGUUGGGCACUCUAAGGUGACUGCCGGCUAAAAGUCGGAGGAAGGUGGGGGAUGACGUCAAAUCAUCAUGCCCCUUAUGACCUGGGCUACACACGUGCUACAAUGGGCGGUACAAAGGGUCGCGAACCCGCGAGGGGGAGCCAAUCCCAAAAAGCCGCUCUCAGUUCGGAUUGCAGGCUGCAACUCGCCUGCAUGAAGCCGGAAUCGCUAGUAAUCGCGGAUCAGCAUGCCGCGGUGAAUACGUUCCCGGGCCUU